ACUGGCUGGCUUUGAAGCUCUAAAAGGCCCUGUAAGAUGGAUGGACUAAAUCAAGACGUCAUGGCGCAUGUGAAUGGCACACAUGGAAAGGGAAGAGAAGAAAAAAGAAACGAAGAUACCUAGAUUCCAAGGUAGUGCUCAUUGACACAUCAGCGCAGGUUUGCUCUGUAAGCUCUGUACCUGCACAAGAUGCUGCCACCUCUACGGAGCCUCCCUGGAUUUCCCAACCACAUUCUAGACGUCUCUACAGAAAUCCUCCAUUGUCCAAACAGAAUAUCAGUUAGUGGAAUUAAAAUCUUGUCCCCA